GACGAACGCUGGCGGCGCGCUUAACACAUGCAAGUCGAACGGAAAGGCCUGCUUUCCCUUGUGGAUUGCGGGUACUCGAGUGGCGAACGGGUGAGUAACACGUGAGUGAUCUGCCCCCAACUUGGGUAUAAGCCUGGGAAACUGGGUCUAAUUCCCGAUAGGACUGCAGGGUGGUGCCUGUGGUGGAAAACGAUUUUCUAGUGGUUGGGGAUGAGCUCGCGGCCUAUCAGCUUGUUGGUGGGGUAAUGGCCUACCAAGGCGGCGACGGGUAGCCGGCCUGAGAGGGUGGACGGCCACAUUGGGACUGAGAUACGGCCCAGACGCCUACGGGAGGCAGCAGUGGGGAAGAGUGCACAAUGGGCGGAAGCCUGAUGCAGCGACGCAGCGUGGGGGAUGACGGCCUUCGGGUUGUAAACUCCUUUCGACCGCGAGGAAGCCACCUGGUUGGAAGGGUGGUGACGGUAGUGGUAGAAGAAGCACCGGCUAACUACGUG
rnacentral:rRNA from 1 species